rnacentral:tRNA from 1 species
UCCUCGAUAGCUCAAUGGUAGAGCAAUCGGCUGUUAACCGAUGGGUUACAGGUUCGAAUCCUGUUCGAGGAG